AGGCUACCUGCCACAAUAUUAGACAGGAAUUGGAGAAUGUAGAUUGGGGGCAACUGUUUGAGGGUAAAUCCACAUCUGGCCUAUCUUUUAAAGGUCAGUUGAUUGGAGUUCAGUACCAGCAUGUUCCUGUAUUUUCAGCUGU